rnacentral:rRNA from 2 species
UGCAGUCGAGCGGACAGAAGGGAGCUUGCUCCCGGAUGUUAGCGGCGGACGGGUGAGUAACACGUGGGUAACCUGCCUGUAAGACUGGGAUAACUCCGGGAAACCGGAGCUAAUACCGGAUAGUUCCUUGAACCGCAUGGUUCAAGGAUGAAAGACGGUUUCGGCUGUCACUUACAGAUGGACCCGCGGCGCAUUAGCUAGUUGGUGAGGUAACGGCUCACCAAGGCGACGAUGCGUAGCCGACCUGAGAGGGUGAUCGGCCACACUGGGACUGAGACACGGCCCAGACUCCUACGGGAGGCAGCAGUAGGGAAUCUUCCGCAAUGGACGAAAGUCUGACGGAGCAACGCCGCGUGAGUGAUGAAGGUUUUCGGAUCGUAAAGCUCUGUUGUUAGGGAAGAACAAGUGCAAGAGUAACUGCUUGCACCUUGACGGUACCUAACCAGAAAGCCACGGCUAACUACGUGCCAGCAGCCGCGGUAAUACGUAGGUGGCAAGCGUUGUCCGGAAUUAUUGGGCGUAAAGGGCUCGCAGGCGGUUUCUUAAGUCUGAUGUGAAAGCCCCCGGCUCAACCGGGGAGGGUCAUUGGAAACUGGGAAACUUGAGUGCAGAAGAGGAGAGUGGAAUUCCACGUGUAGCGGUGAAAUGCGUAGAGAUGUGGAGGAACACCAGUGGCGAAAGGCGACUCUCUGGUCUGUAACUGACGCUGAGGAGCGAAAGCGUGGGGAGCGAACAGGAUUAGAUACCCUGG